CAAUGAGUUCCUAACAGCACCAAGCAUCAGAGUAAACUUGAGGGAUUUCUGGAUUUCUGCCUCUCAGAUUUGUAGAAACUCCUGGCAGGUAAAAACAACCAAAACUAAAAAUCCUAGACUGUAAGAAAGCAUCCCUGCCACAGAACCUACACAAGGCUGAAAAACACUCAGAACACAGGAACAAACUGUUAUUUGGGAGGAUAAAAUAUCUCACCACCUUCAGCACCUUUCUUGUGGUUGCUCUGCCUGAGAUCUAUCAAGCAGCAAUGUUCACAGAAACAUCAGGAAAGCAAGAUGCCAAAAGCAAAGGGAAAUUUGAGAAAAAUAUCUAAAUCACAGUAUACAUACUUAGGAUUAACUGGAUUUAACAAAUCUCUUUGGAGCACACUUUUUCUGAAGAUGUUGCCUCUCUUGAGCAUUUCCUGGCCCCAUCUUCCAGGCUUAGAGAUAAAAAACGAACCAGGAGUGGAGUGGAAAGAGAGGGUCAAUAUUACUUGAGGUCCUGGACUGUUAUUCCCAGUGAUCAUAUCUUGUUCUUGUGAUACUCCUGUACACAGCAAGAGGAUUACACAGGUAAAUAUUACUCUGUGAAAAUAGAAAUGACAAAACUCACCCUCAAGAUGUGAUUUGUCUCAGCACUUCCAAAUAAGUGUUUAUGAAUGUAAAUACAGUCAUAUGAAACUCCAA